rnacentral:lncRNA from 1 species
AGUAGCCCUCGCCCCCGCAAUGAGGCAGUGUGGUGGGUGGGGAGAUGGUUUUUCAGAGGAAGGGAGGAUUCGGACUGGCCAGAAAAAAAAAUUGCGGUCUACCUACCCUGCCCAGCCUGUGAGAAUCGCACAGGCCCAGCAGAGGGGAACUGACUUUGGUGUGUCUGCCAAGAAUCUGAAGACUCUACAGAAACGAGAUUCCUUCAUCGGCACGCCUUACUGGACUCUGUGUUCCGGGUUGCUGCUGCCAUCUCGCGGUAGGCAUCGGAACUGCAGCAGGACGUGGCGGGGAGCCGCGUGGAGGCGUUUUUCUGUGGAAGAGCGUCCUAAGGAAGACAGUGGGAUGCAAAGUCACGCAGAUCAUGAUUCGGGAGUGCUGCCAACCCCGACAGUGGCUCGUGGUGGCCCUUGACCCUGAAUGUCCAAGAAGCACCUGUAAAGGCCAGAUUCUUAGCCCUAUGUUGUCCCUUGGUUGGUUCAGGAUGGCCCCCGA